rnacentral:rRNA from 1 species
UUAACUUGCCAGAUCGGACGGGAUGUCGUGCUUUCAACGCGGUAUGGUC